ensembl:snRNA U6 U6 spliceosomal RNA
GGGCUCACUUUGUCAGCACUUAUACUAAAAUUGGAAUGUCACAGAGAAGAUUAGCAUGGUCCCUGGGCAAAGAUGACACGCAAACUCCUGAUGUGUUCCAUAUUUUU